AAACUUAAGAGUUUGAUCCUGGCUCAGAACGAACGCUGGCGGCAGGCCUAACACAUGCAAGUCGAACGAACCUUUUAGGUGAGUGGCGCACGGGUGCGUAACGCGUGGGAAUAUACCCUUGAGUAAGGAAUAAUGUGUGGAAACGGCCACUAAUACCUUAUAAUGACUACGGUCCAAAGAUUUAUCGCCCAAGGAUUAGCCCGCGUCUGCUUAGGUAGUUGGUAG
rnacentral:rRNA from 1 species